AUUGAACGCUGGCGGCAGGCCUAACACAUGCAAGUCGAACGGUAACAGGAAGCAGCUUGCUGCUUUGCUGACGAGUGGCGGACGGGUGAGUAAUGUCUGGGAAACUGCCUGAUGGAGGGGGAUAACUACUGGAAACGGUAGCUAAUACCGCAUAACGUCGCAAGACCAAAGAGGGGGACCUUCGGGCCUCUUGCCAUCGGAUGUGCCCAGAUGGGAUUAGCUUGUUGGUGGGGUAACGGCUCACCAAGGCGACGAUCCCUAGCUGGUCUGAGAGGAUGACCAGCCACACUGGAACUGAGACACGGUCCAGACUCCUACGGGAGGCAGCAGUGGGGAAUAUUGCACAAUGGGCGCAAGCCUGAUGCAGCCAUGCCGCGGGUAUGAAGAAGGCCUUCGGGUUGUAAAGUACUUUCAGCGGGGAGGAAGGGAGUAAAGUUAAUACCUUUACUCAUGGACGUUACCCGCAGAAGAAGCACCGGCUAACUCCGU
rnacentral:rRNA from 1 species